rnacentral:lncRNA from 1 species
AUAACAAUAACAAUAAUUCAGUAUAAUCCUACUUAGUAGGGUUGGGAAGGGUAGUGUACGCAGACCUUACCCCUAACCUUGGGUAGAGAGGCUGUUUCCAAAUAGACCCCCGGCAUUCUUCCCUCCAAGAACUUCCCACCUUGCUCUUGGGGAGACUCGAACUCACAACCUCUCGAUUUGAAGUGGGGGUUGCUUACCAUCAGAUCAAC